rnacentral:rRNA from 1 species
UACGUAGGGGGCAAGCGUUGUCCGGAUUUAUUGGGCGUAAAGAGCGUGUAGGCGGCCAGGUAGGUCAGCUGUGAAAACUCGAGGCUCAACCUCGAGACGUCGGUUGAAACCAUCUGGCUAGAGUCCGGAAGAGGAGAGUGGAAUUCCCGGUGUAGCGGUGAAAUGCGCAGAUAUCGGGAAGAACACCCGUGGCGAAGGCGGCUCUCUGGGACGGUACUGACGCUGAGACGCGAAAGCGUGGGGAGCAAACGGG